rnacentral:rRNA from 1 species
AUAUUAUUAAGCGGAGGAAAAGAAACUAACAAGGAUUCCCCUAGUAACGGCGAGUGAAGCGGGAAAAGCUCAAAAUGAAAAUCGGGGUUCUUCGAACUUCGAGUUGUAAUCUAAAGGCUGGUUUUCUGCGUGCGAUCCGGGUAUAACUCUUUUGAAACAAGGGAUCAUAGAGGGUGAAAAUCCCGUCUUUGACCCGGACCCCGCCGCGUACGAUACCUGUCCAAAGAGUCGAGUAGCUUGGGAUUGCUGCUCAAAAUGGGUGGUAAACCCCAUCUAAAGCUAAAUACUGGCCGGAGACCGAUAGCGCACAAGUA